rnacentral:rRNA from 1 species
UUGGGAAUCUUGGACAAUGGGGGAAACCCUGAUCCAGCCAUGCCGCGUGAGUGAUGAAGGCCUUCGGGUUGUAAAGCUCUUUUACCCGGGAAGAUAAUGACUGUACCGGGAGAAUAAGCUCCGGCUAACUUCGUGCCAGCAGCCGCGGUAAUACGAAGGGGGCUAGCGUUGUUCGGAAUUACUGGGCGUAAAGCGCGCGCAGGUGGUUUUCCAAGUCAGUGGUGAAAGCCCGGAGCUCAACUCCGGAACUGCCAUUGAAACUGUUUAGCUUGAGGACGAGAGAGGUGAGUGGAAUUCCCAGUGUAGAGGUGAAAUUCGUAGAUAUUGGGAAGAACACCGGUGGCGAAGGCGGCUCACUGGCUCGUUUCUGACACUCAAGCGCGACAGCGUGGGGAUCAAACAGGAUUAGAUACCCCUGUAGUCC